ensembl:snoRNA
ACCCUCCAGUUCCAUUUCCCGCCAUAUCAAAACACUGGUCUGGGUGGCCGUAUAAGGAGGAAAAGAAACAUUGAAGCUGCUCCUCAGUGCUCUUGGAGCUAGGGCUAGUUUCAAACAAGG